rnacentral:rRNA from 1 species
CGCUGGCGGCGUGCUUAACACAUGCAAGUCGAACGAUGAAGCCCAGCUUGCUGGGUGGAUUAGUGGCGAACGGGUGAGUAACACGUGAGUAACCUGCCCUUGACUCUAGGAUAAGCCCGGGAAACUGGGUCUAAUACUGGAUAGGAACGUCUACCGCAUGGUGGAUGUUGGAAAGAAUUUCGGUCAUGGAUGGACUCGCGGCCUAUCAGCUUGUUGGUGAGGUAAUGGCUCACCAAGGCGACGACGGGUAGCCGGCCUGAGAGGGUGACCGGCCACACUGGGACUGAGACACGGCCCAGACUCCUACGGGAGGCAGCAGUGGGGAAUAUUGCACAAUGGGCGAAAGCCUGAUGCAGCGACGCCGCGUGAGGGAUGACGGCCUUCGGGUUGUAAACCUCUUUCAGUAGGGAAGAAGCGAAAGUGACGGUACCUGCAGAAGAAGCACCGGCUAACUACGUGCCAGCAGCCGCGGUAAUACGUAGGGUGCGAGCGUUAUCCGGAAUUAUUGGGCGUAAAGAGCUCGUAGGCGGUUUGUCGCGUCUGUCGUGAAAGUCCGGGGCUUAACCCCGGAUCUGCGGUGGGUACGGGCAGACUAAAGUGCANUAGGGGAGACUGGAAU